GUACCCUCAAGCUCUGCUUGGUGUUGGGUGUUUGUCCCGCGUUGUGCGUGGACUCGCCUCAAAGCAAUUGGCAGCCGGCGUAUUUGCCUGGGAGCGCAGCACAUUUUGCGUCUCUCGGCCUGAACGCGGGCGUCCAUUAAGCGUAUAUUUUUGC
rnacentral:misc_RNA from 1 species